rnacentral:ncRNA from 1 species
AUGGUGUCGAAAGACUUAAUAGAGAAUCCGGUAUAAGCCGGAGCGGUCCCGCCACUGUAACAGCGAGCAACUUUGCAAUGUUAUGUCACUGGAUGUAAAUCUGGGAAGGCGCAAAGGAGCAAUGAACUGGAGCCAGGAGAACUACCUGAUCGA